GUUCUUUUCGCCUUUCCCUCACGGUACUGGUUCACUAUCGGUCGAUCACGAGUGGCGAACGGGUGAGUAACACGUGGGUGAUCUGCCCUGCACUUUGGGAUAAGCCUGGGAAACUGGGUCUAAUACCGGAUAGGACUCCUGGCUUCACGGUUGGGGGUGGAAAGCUUUUGCGGUGUGGGAUGGGCCCGCGGCCUAUCAGCUUGUUGGUGGGGUAAUGGCCUACCAAGGCGACGACGGGUAGCCGGCCUGAGAGGGUGUCCGGCCACACUGGGACUGAGAUACGGCCCAGACUCCUACGGGAGGCAGCAGUGGGGAAUACUGCACAAUGGGCGCAAGCCUGAUGCAGCGACGCCGCGUGAGGGAUGACGGCCUUCGGGUUGUAAACCUCUUUCGCCAGGGACGAAGCGCAAGUGACGGUACCUGGAGAAGAAGCACCGGCCAACUACGUGCCAGCAGCCGCGGUAAUACGUAGGGUGCGAGCGUUGUCCGGAAUUACUGGGCGUAAAGAGCUCGUAGGUGGUUUGUCGCGUUGUUCGUGAAAACUCACAGCUUAACUGUGGGCGUGCGGGCGAUACGGGCAGACUUGAGUACUGCAGGGGAGACUGGAAUUCCUGGUGUAGCGGUGGAAUGCGCAGAUAUCAGGAGGAACACCGGUGGCGAAGGCGGGUCUCUGGGCAGUAACUGACGCUGAGGAGCGAAAGCGUGGGGAGCGAACAGGAUUAGAUACCCUGGUAGUCCACGCCGUAAACGGUGGGUACUAGGUGUGGGUUUCCUUCCUUGGGAUCCGUGCCGUAGCUAACGCAUUAAGUACCCCGCCUGGGGAGUACGGCCGCAAGGCUAAAACUCAAAGGAAUUGACGGGGGCCCGCACAAGCGGCGGAGCAUGUGGAUUAAUUCGAUGCAACGCGAAGAACCUUACCUGGGUUUGACAUGCACAGGACGCCGGCAGAGAUGUCGGUUCCCUUGUGGCCUGUGUGCAGGUGGUGCAUGGCUGUCGUCAGCUCGUGUCAUGAGAUGUUGGGUUAAGUCCCGCAACGAGCGCAACCCUUGUCUCAUGUUGCCAGCACGUUAUGGU
rnacentral:rRNA from 1 species